UAAUCGGAAUGAGUACAAUUUAAAUCCUUUAACGAGGACCAAUUGGAGGGCAAGUCUGGUGCCAGCAGCCGCGGUAAUUCCAGCUCCAAUAGCGUAUAUUAAAGUUGUUGCGGUUAAAAAGCUCGUAGUUGAAUCUGUGUGUCACAGUGUCGGUUCACCGCUCGCGGUGUCUAACUGGCAUUAUGUGGUACGUCCUACCGGUGGGCUUAGCUCCUUGCGGGCGGUCCAACUAAUCUCCCAUCGCGGUGCUCUUCACUGAGUGUCGAGGUGGGCCGGUACGUUUACUUUGAACAAAUUAGAGUGCUCAAUGCAGGCUACCUUCGCCUGUAUACUGCGUGCAUGGAAUAAUGGAAUAGGACCUCGGUUCUAUUUUGUUGGUUUUCGGAACCCCGAGGUAAUGAUUAAUAGGGACAGAUGGGGGCAUUCGUAUUGCGACGUUAGAGGUGAAAUUCUUGGAUCGUCGCAAGACGGACUAAAGCGAAAGCAUUUGCCAAAAAUGUUUUCAUUAAUCAAGAACGAAAGUUAGAGGUUCGAAGGCGAUCAGAUACCGCCCUAGUUCUAACCAUAAACAAUGCCAGCUAGCGAUCCGCCGAAGUUCCUCCGAUGACUCGGCGGGCAGCUUCCGGGAAACCAAAGCUUUUGGGUUCCGGGGGAAGUAUGGUUGCAAAGCUGAAACU
rnacentral:rRNA from 1 species